GUGAGAAUAGCUUAGAGGGUAGAGCGUGGGCUUGUGGUGCCUAAGGUCAAGAGUUCAAGUCUCUUUUUUCACC
rnacentral:tRNA from 1 species